GACGAACGCUGGCGGCGUGCCUAAUACAUGCAAGUCGAGCGAAGUUUUUCUGGUGCUUGCACUAGAAAAACUUAGCGGCGAACGGGUGAGUCACACGUAAAGAACCUGCCUCAUAGACUGGGACAACUAUUGGAAACGAUAGCUAAUACCGGAUAACAGUAUUUCUCGCAUGAGAGAUAUUUAAAAGUUGGUUAUGCUAACACUAUGAGAUGGCUUUGCGGUGCAUUAGCUAGUUGGUGGGGUAAAGGCCCACCAAGGCGACGAUGCAUAGCCGACCUGAGAGGGUGAUCGGCCACACUGGGACGGAGACACGGCCCAGACUCCUACGGGAGGCAGCAGUAGGGAAUCUUCCGCAAUGGGCGAAAGCCUGACGGAGCAACGCCGCGUGAGUGAAGAAGGAUUUCGGUUCGUAAAGCUCUGUUGUUAGGGAAGAAUGGAUAUGUAGUAACUAUACAUGUAAGAGACGGUACCUAACCAGAAAGCCACGGCUAACUACGUG
rnacentral:rRNA from 1 species